CUGAAAGUCCCGAAAACACAUUGUGAAUUCUGUCUCGAGUCCAUGGAUUUCCGUGGUGCUGAUGCUGCGCUGAGCGGACAGCUCCUGAAGCAUUUGAAGUGUUGGAAUGUGGAAAUUUCAACAUCCCUUGAAAAAACUGCCAACUAGCAACGUCCCUCUCACCGACUUUAAACCAGAGCCAGACGUCGUCUACUCUACACUGAAGUAGUCCACCAGUCCAACCACUGAUGUCCAGCUGCUGGUCUCUAACUGGUCCAUCCCAGAACCUCAGAUCAAUGUGUUCAAAAUAUUUUUUUUUCAUGUUUUAUGUAUUUUUAAUCACUUAAUUAGACUUUACCUAUAUUGACUGUACCUUUAAAAGUUUAGCUUUUUUCAACAUAAACAGUCAGAAAAUACAUAUUAAAAUGUUUUCAUAUUUUCAAUAAUUUACAAUUUUAUGUUUUGUUUGUUUGUUCUUGUUCACACAGCAUAGAUGUGGUUUCUGUGCAGGACUAAAAUAGUUUUGUUGUCGUUUGUUUUUCUGUGGUUCUGUGGGUUUCACCAAAGUGUCAGAUGGGAUAUUUAUCUCUUCCAAUUUGGUUGUGGCUAACCAAUGUAUGCCCCUGUUUAAUCUCCUGACCUGCGCGAAAGUUGUAAACUGCCUCUGGAACAGUGUUAAGGUACAAAAAAAAAUCUAUUCAACAAAAA